rnacentral:rRNA from 2 species
UACGUAGGGUGCAAGCGUUAAUCGGAAUUACUGGGCGUAAAGGGUGCGCAGGUGGUUUUGUAAGUCAGAUGUGAAAUCCCCGGGCUUAACCUGGGAAUUGCGUUUGAAACUACAAGACUAGAGUGUGGCAGAGGGGGGUGGAAUUCCAUGUGUAGCAGUGAAAUGCGUAGAGAUAUGGAAGAACAUCGAUGGCGAAGGCA